rnacentral:rRNA from 1 species
GACAGAGGGUGCAAACGUUGUUCGGAAUUACUGGGCGUAAAGCGCGUGUAGGCGGCUAUGCAAGUCGGAUGUGAAAGCCCUCGGCUCAACCGGGGAAGUGCACCCGAAACUGCAAAGCUAGAGUCUCGGAGAGGAUCGUGGAAUUCUCGGUGUAGAGGUGAAAUUCGUAGAUAUCGAGAGGAACACCCGGUGGCGAAGGCGG